GAUAAUGAAAACAUGCUCUUUACACGGUAGACAAAACAGGGUUACUUUUGUUUCAAUAUUUCCCUCUCUUUUGCCCUUUUACAUUCAUUCUUACUCAACCAUUCUCUCUCCAUUCGCCGAACAUGUUCUUCUUCACCAUCACAUCUCCAUUCUCUCUCCAUUCCACCGGUAAGACAACCCUAUUUCUCCCUCUUCUUCUUCUCUCUUUUCUUUUCUCUUCUUCUUCUUCUUCUUCUUCUGGGAUUCGCAGUUUAUUUUUGCUAAUCUUUUGAUGAAGUACGGGUCUUAUGGGAUUUCGCGAUUAUGGAGUUCAUUUUUAUGUCCUUUGUGUUAUGAUUUUCAGUUUUUGUUGUUAUAUUUUUAAGGAUAUUGAUUUAUAUUGUCAAAGUUACUUUUUUUAAAGAGAUGAUGUUCUUAUGGAGUUUGUUUUUGGAGUACCGGUCUUCUUGGAUUUCGUUUUUAUGGAAAGAAAUUUUUAAUCCUUCUGUGCUAUGCUUUUCAGAUUUUGUUGUUAUAUUUGUAAGGAAUUUUUAGUCCUUCUGUGUUGUGCUUCUGUGUGAAACAGAUUCUGUGAUGUGCUAUACUUUUUUUAAACUUUGAUGUUCUUAUGGAGUUUGUUUAUGGAUUAUCUGGGAUUUCGCUUUUAUGGAAAGAAAAUGUUAGUCCUUAUGUGUUAUGCUUUUCAUAUUUUUAAACUACUGAUGUUAUAUCCUAAACAAUUUUCUUUUUUGUUACACCAUUAGAAAGUUUUCAUUUUUAGUGAACUUCUGUGCUAUGCUUUUCAGAUUUUGUUGUUAUUUUUGUAAGGAAUUUUUAGUCCUUCUGUCCUGUGCUUCUGUGUGAAACAGAUUCUGUGAUGUGCUAUACUUUUUUUUAAACUUUGAUGUUCUUAUGGAGUUUGAUUAUUACUUACCUGGGAUUUCGCUUUUAUGGAAAGAAAUUGUUAGUCCUUAUGUGGUAUGCUUUUCAUAUUUUUAAACUACUAAAUGAUGUUAUAUCCUAAACAGUUUUCUUUUUUGUUUAACCAUUAGAAAGUUUUCAUUUUUAGUGACCUUCUGUGCUAUGCUUUUCAGAUUUUGUUGUUAUUUUUGUAAGGAAUUUUUAGUCCUUCUGUGUGAAGCAGAUUCUGUGCUUAGAAAGUGCUCUGCUUCUAAUUUUAACAAUUUUCUUUCUUCCCUUUCUUAAUUUAUGAUGCAAAAUUGAAGGGAUUGUAUAUGUAUGGUGCUGGAUCUGAUGAUUUUUAAGUGGAUUAGACAAACCUAUCAAGGAAAAGAGGCAUUUUUGUUGGAAUUUUGUUUUGUUGUGCUUUAUUAGGCUCAGGUUCACAGACAUGCUCAUAACUCUAGGGAAGUGCAACAAUAUACUCUUCUAUUUGUGAAAACAGGUGGCUAUAGUGAGGCUGAUACAUGAUUCAAAGGUCAAAGACUUAUGAACAAAGUGGUUGUUCUUAAAGCUGCAGUCAAGUUAAAAGAGGCUGAGAGUACUUGCUUUUGUAUGGGCGCUGCAUGGAGGUACACAAUAGGAAGAGAGACAAACUUCAACCAGAUACUUGAAUAUGUAAAAGAAAUAAAGUAAGUUAACUUGAUUUUAUUUUUCUCUUAAUUAUCAAGUACUGUGAAAGAGGUAUGGGGAUGGAGGUUUGUUGCACCCUUGGCAUGUUGGAUAAAGAUCAAGCUGGUGAACUCAAGUUUUACAUCAAAACUUUCUGCAAGUGACAUUUUUUAUUGUGCUUUAAAGUUAAAGUAGAGAUGCAUCGUUUUAAUCUGAAUCAUACAUGACAUGUAUAAAAUUUAUGAUAAACUUGAACAACACAAGUAUAAUAUUUUUGUGUUUUGAAUUAUUAUUUCUGAAGCAUAUUCCUAUAAAAUCUGUAAUGCAGUUGAUAUUUAUCGUUUCAGAUUUUGUGUUUAGUCAAUUAACUAGCUGGUAAAUAAGUUCUAUUGGUUUCAAAGAAUGGUGUGCUGCAGAUCAAGGAAACCGAUGAAAAGUUAAGCCUAAAGAAGUUUCUUAGUGUUGCUGACCUUUCAUUAUCAGUUUAUGUUGCUCCCAUUCUAUUUUGCUGUCAUUUCUCUAUGUUUUUAUUGCAUUUCUCACUAAAUGAUAAGUUUAAUUGCAUACGGUGGCUAUUUGGCUCUUGUGUGAGAUGGAUUGAUACUACUAUUUCCAAAACUUAUUAAGGAUGUUUUAAAACUCUGAUUAUAAACUUCCUUAUAAUCCAGCUAAUAUGUUUUGCAACUUUUACCUUCUACAGACAAGAUUUUGAAUCAUGAAAUGGAUGGUGUUUCUUACCGAGUUCUUGGAUAUCUCCUUCUUGGUGUUGUUAAAAUACACUCCAAAAAGGUUGAGUAUAUGCUUCAUGAUUGCAAUAAAGUGCUCCUGGAAUCAACAAGUUUUUUAUCAGGACAAGGAAUAGCACACCUGCCAAAACCGAAAAGAUUUGAUUUGGAUGCUAUCAAUCUUAGUGUACUUGAAGAUACUUCCAAAUAUCAUACUGCUCCCUUAGAACAAAUCACUCUUAAAGGUACAAUAUAUGCCUUAUCAACAUUAUGUUCUGCUUUUGACUUGACUAUGCUAUGAUAACACAAGCUCUACGAGGUCUGCUGUAUGUUGUGGCUGAUCAGAGCCUUCCCCGACAGCUUUUGUACUACGUUUGGGUUUUCUUAUAUCCGUUUGGAAAGGCCUGAAUACUCCAUGUUUCUUUGCAGUUAUUACAUUUAUUUUUUAAUUUUACAUUUUGUUUCAUGGAUACCUGUGUAUUGUACUAUCCAGAACCACUGCUAUGCAGAAUACUUCACCUUCCUUGUCAAUCACCAUAUUAGCAUACUGUAACUUUAUGACCACACAAAUAGAAAAGUGAAGUAAACAUACUUUUUGCUUUGUAAAAAUUUAUGUUGUCCUUCUCCUCAAGUUAACAUUAGUUUAAAUGAAAUAUUGAAUCAUACUUUCUACUUUGUAACUAUUAAGUUAACUAUUACUUCUUUAUUAUACUUUUAUUGUAUUUCUAUCUAUAAUGUAUUAAGCAAAUGAUAUUUAUGACAUAAGUGGAAUUGAUACAUUCAAUUUUGUUUAUUAAAAUUUCAUUUUUUAACCUAUUUCUCACAUUCAACUAUAACUACAAAUCUAUUAAAAAUGCUUAAUUUAUAAUAAAAAUGUCUUUUCCAGC